rnacentral:rRNA from 1 species
AAACUUUCAACAACGGAUCUCUUGGUUCUGGCAUCGAUGAAGAACGCAGCGAAAUGCGAUAAGUAAUGUGAUUGCAGAAUUCAGUGAAUCAUCGAAUCUUUGAACGCACAUUGCGCCCAUUAGUAUUCUAGUGGGCAUGCCUGUUCGAGCGUCAUUU